CCUACGGGAGGCAGCAGUGAGGAAUAUUGGUCAAUGGGAGAGAUCCUGAACCAGCCAAGCCGCGUGAGGGAAGACGGCCCUAUGGGUUGUAAACCUCUUUUGUCGGAGAACAAAACCCGGGACGUGUCCCGGACUGCGUGUAUCCGAAGAAAAAGCAUCGGCUAACUCCGUGCCAGCAGCCGCGGUAAUACGGAGGAUGCGAGCGUUAUCCGGAUUUAUUGGGUUUAAAGGGUGCGUAGGCGGUUUUUUAAGUUAGUGGUUAAACGUCGGGGCUUCACCUUGAUUUGCCAUUAAUACUGUAAGACUCGAGUUCAGACGAGGUAGGCGGAAUAAGUUAAGUAGCGGUGAAAUGCUUAGAUAUAACUUAGAACUCCGAUAGCGAAGGCAGCUUACCAGACUGCGACUGACGCUGAAGCACGAGAGCGUGGGUAGCGAACAGGAUUAGAUACCCUUGUAGUC
rnacentral:rRNA from 1 species